rnacentral:misc_RNA from 1 species
AUAGUAGUUCAUCCCACUAACAGACUUCCCCUUCAUACCCUUCUUGGAGAAUAUAUUUCUGAAGACAAAUGCCACAUUCGAGAUCAUAGCACCCGAGAAACCAAUCCAGUUGAAGUUCAACUCUGUAAGCGCAGAAAGACCACAACCACCGAUGAUGGGGAUAAGAGAUAAGUAAACGGCGGUAGGGAAUGACUCUCCCAAGAGGAACCUUGAAACCAAAACACUAAAAGCAGGUUCACCACUCUUGAUGAUGUGAGUGAAUGAAACUGCCACCUUUGACAUGCUCACUGUAGCUGCAACAUGCCCAAUUGUAUGUGCAAUGGCAACCGGUAAGAGAGUUUUCCAGAAUUCAAGAUCAGUUUUAGGAGCUUCUGCAAUUCUAAGAGUCCAAGAAAUCAACAUAAUAAGUGAACCAGCAGCAAGUGACAAAGUUGAUGUUAACCAAGGAAAUGGAAAAGCAUUCAACACUUUCUUAUUAUAAAUAUUAAAAAUCACAUUCAAAAACCACCAAGUAGCAAAAUAAACACCGAUCUUCAUCUUCCUUGCCAACUCCGCUUUCGAUUCAGGUCCUUCCAUCGGCUCAGCCCGAUCCGCUUCAUAAGCCUUACACUUAACCAAACCACUAUCAGUUUUCUCAUUAGAUCUCUUCAAACCCCCAAAACUCUCAACAGAAGAAACAAAAACAGGCUUCGACACCGAUACACCGGAGCUCCGGCGAGACUUCAUCGCCGGUAAUGGCGGAAGUAGAGAGAUACGGCGUGUAGAAGCCAAAGAUUGAGACUUUGACCGAAUGAAAUCACACCCAUUGAUUGUAAAAGCUGCUUGCUUCACUGUAGACAUCAUGGUUCAAAAUCCUUUGAGCUGGCAAGCGAAAAUUCAGAUGGGUUUUGACUAAAAAUUAAAACUUUUUUUUAUUAUAAGAUCAAAAACACAAAAAACCCCAAAACCCCAGAUCAAGAUUUUACAGAAAACUUGAAA